UCUUUUCUGAAAAACCAAAGAUUCUGUUGAUUAAUUCACUUGUUGAUUUAAUCAACUUGAUUUAAUUGUGGUAAAUUUGAUGAUGGUCAAGAUUAACUGUUCUGGACUUCGAUUGAUUUUGGUGGAUAAUCCAAUUAACAAUAAGAAGAAAAUGAAAACUGUGAAUUGAUACAAUCCCUUUUUCCUGUUGUUCUGAUGUUUAUAUGAAUUGAGUUUCUGUUUGUGUUGAUUAUUUUUUUAUCAUUUACCUUAAAAUAACUAAUUUAAUGGUGAUAAAAGUGGAACCUUAAUUACUUUAUUAAUUUAUCAUCCAUCUAUUCAUCUUUAUUGUUGUUAAUUAUUAUUGCUAUUAAGGUGAUGUAUAAAUGUAAAAAGGAUGAGCUUCUAAUGUAGGAAACAAGGAACAACAUCAACAACAAAAAGAUGGGUCAUCAUCAUCAUCAUCUUCCAUCAUCAGUUAAUAUGUAACUGAUCAAAAUUUUGGAAAGUUGAUUAAAUCAUAUGAUGAUGGUGGAAAAGCAAAUUAGGAUUAUCAAAAGAUGGAGAGAGGAAAAAAAUUCAGGUUGAUUAACCAUGAUUUCCAAGGAGUAUCAACAUUUUAAAAUGGAAACCAAUCUGACAGGAGAGACUUUUCAAAUUGGAAUCAUCUUUUUCAGUUCUAUCAGUAUUUUCAUCAACCACUCCUACACCUUCAUCAUCAUCAACAUCAUCAACAUCGUGAUUGUUAAUCAUCUUAAUAUCCACUUUGAUUGAAUAGAUUUUUAUAUUUAUUUCAAACAAUUAUCUUUAAAUGAAGCAUUUUUUCGUUCAUAAUCCAGGUAUAAGACUGAACUUAAUUACAAUCUAAAGGCCACUGAUUACAUUGAAUCUUAAUAAUUUGCAUAAAGUCAACAAUCAAGAAAAGAUGGAAUCAACAACAACAAGGAAAAAAACUGGACAAUUGACCAUAUAAAGAAAAAAAUGGAAAAGUGUUAAUCGUGGUGAUUAGUUGGUUUGCUAAUUGUAGUUACAAUUGUCACUUAAACUAAGCAUAUGCCCUAAAUUAUUAAUUCUAAUUACUAUUCAACUGUAGUAAACUUAUACUACAAAAUGAGAUGUUUUUUCCUGUCAUCCGAUAAUCAUAAUUAUCGCAAUUGAAGUAAAAACGAGAUGAUCAAUCGGUUGGUUUAACUGUAAUAACAACAAUCAUGUUUCCGUUUCUUGUUCAAUUCACUUUCAAUAUGGUGGAAAACUUUUGACUCGCUGAUUAUGAAAUGAUGAUGGAAACAAUUAGUUAAUUAUUUUCAAGUUCAUCUUCAACAAUCAAAAUCAUCAUUAACAAACUGUCUCCAAGAAAACUUUUACAAUUAUUAUGACAACAUGGUGAAAGAAUCAAAGUUAGAAAUGAACAAUCAAUGGUGAACAAUUAACUCACUAAAUGGUUGAGUGAAUAAGGAGACAAGCAAAGAGACGGAUUUUGUUCAUAGUUAAAGAAAUUUCAAUUUAAACGUUGAACAAUUUAACGAUAAUCAAGAAAAUCAUUAUCAUCAACACCAUCUCAAACAAUAAUAACAAAGUGCAAUGAAUUAUCAUGAAUACAAACACUCAAAUUCAUAUGAAUGAAUUUCAAUCAUGAAUAUUUCAUUUCUAAUCAAAGGUUAACACAUGAGUGAAAUUCAUUUGUAAACCUUUUUUUUUCUUGCUCGGGGGAGGAUAAAUGAUGGAUUUAUCCUUUAAACCGUUAAUCUUGUUGACUUUUUCUCCUCUUAAUUGUCAACUGAGAUUCUAAGAUAAUCAAUCAAAAAAUUGAUCUCCAGUUAAUAUCAUUGAUGGAAAAGGUUAAUCACCUUUCAAUGAAAAUCUCAUCUUUCUAAAUCUUAAUUAAUACUAAAGAAUCAAUGAGAUGAUGCUGAUCAAUCUUGUCUAUCAACUAUUGGUAAUAAUGGUCAAGUUCACUGAUUGACCCUCAGAGGAUGAAGAUUGUGAAAAAUCAAGUUCUCACUCUGAAAGAAAAGAGGUAAGUCAAAAGAUUAUCAAUUCCAUAUAAUUGAAUCUAAUAGAUUGGAUUCGAAGCCUUAUUUACAAUGUAAUUGGUUAAUAAAUGAUUCCAAGGAGUGUCCCGUUAAUUACCCUGAAGGAGGCGAAAUCUAUUAUUCACAAUCUCUCAACAUUUAAUAUUGGAUAACGUUGUUUGGGUUAUAUUUUUCAUCUACACAAAGUUACGGAAAAAAAAUCCAGGUCAAAAGACGGAGGCUAAGCAUGAUGAUGGAAAUGAUGAUGAUGAUGAUGACCAAGUGAGCUUGACCAACUGUAUCAAUCAACUUAAUGACAGUAACAUCUUUUGACCCUCCAAAGGAGAGUGAGGCCAGAAACGGAUAAUCAAGAAGCCGAAAAAUACAAAACAAGACAAUGAUUCUGUUUAUAUAUUAAUAUUUACACUAAUCACCGUUUGGAUGAUGUUGGAAUUGA